rnacentral:tRNA from 1 species
UAGCGUAGUGGUUAGGCUUCUGACUAUCAAUCAGAUGGUCAUGGGUUCAAUUCCCAC